rnacentral:rRNA from 1 species
GACGAACGCUGGCGGCGUGCUUAACACAUGCAAGUCGAACGAAGUGGCGAACGGGUGAGUAACGCGUAAUCAACCUGCCCUUCAGCGGGGGACAACAGUUGAAAACGACUGCUAAUACCGCAUACUGAAGGCGGGGAUUGCGUCUGAUUAGCUAGUUGGCGGGGUAACGGCCCACAAAGGCGAUGGUCAGUAGCCGGUCUGAGAGGAUGAACGGCCACAUUGGGACUGAGACACGGCCCAGACUCCUACGGGAGGCAGCAGUGGGGAAUCUUCCGCAAUGGACGAAAGUCUGACGGAGCAACGCCGCGUGAGUGAUGACGGCCUUCGGGUUGUAAAGCUCUGUUAAUCGGGACGCGGUACCGGAAUAGAAAGCCACGGCUAACUACGUGCCAGCAGCCGCGGUAAUUC